AAACGUUGAAAUACACAACAAUUGGUUGGUUAAGGUGUGGGGGAGGUAUGACGUAACACACACGUGAGGAUGUGAGGUGUCGGGGAAACUAGGACGAGGUGUGGGUUUUGCCGAUGAGCAUGGUGGUGAAAUGCUGAAUGCCAUAUGCUGCACGCAGAGUGCUGAGCAUACUUCAAGCAUACUUCUUGCUGAUUACAGUCAGGCAGAUCACCGUGGACCUAGCAAAGAACCGUCCUGGGAAAGAGCCAGGUGAACUCACCUUGAACUCACCCGGGAGGUCGACG